rnacentral:rRNA from 1 species
AUUGAACGCUGGCGGCAGGCCUAACACAUGCAAGUCGAGCGGAUGAAGGGAGCUUGCUCCUGGAUUCAGCGGCGGACGGGUGAGUAAUGCCUAGGAAUCUGCCUGGUAGUGGGGGAUAACGUCCGGAAACGGGCGCUAAUACCGCAUACGUCCUGAGGGAGAAAGUGGGGGAUCUUCGGACCUCACGCUAUCAGAUGAGCCUAGGUCGGAUUAGCUAGUUGGUGGGGUAAAGGCCUACCAAGGCGACGAUCCGUAACUGGUCUGAGAGGAUGAUCAGUCACACUGGAACUGAGACACGGUCCAGACUCCUACGGGAGGCAGCAGAGGGGAAUAUUGGACAAUGGGCGAAAGCCUGCUCCAGCCAUGCCGCGUGUGUGAAGAAGGUCUUCGGAUUGUAAAGCACUUUAAGUUGGGAGGAAGGGCAGUAAGUUAAUACCUUGCUGUUUUGACGUUACCAACAGAAUAAGCACCGGCUAACUUCGUG